CUGCCCGUGAAACUGAAUCGACUCAGUCUCAGACUGAAUUGACUCAGUCUGACUAAAUCGACUCUAACUAAAAUUGAGUCGACUCACCUGCACGUCAGCCUAAAAAAUUUUAAAACAUAUAUUUCUAUUUGGCUCCUUCUUUGAGACAUAGUCGAUUCAGUCUUAGUCUGAGUCGAUUAAGACCCUGAAACUGCUUCUUUCCUGCAAUCUUCAUCCUUGGCUCUGGUUCCUUACUCCACCUUAUGUCCCCAAGUCUCUGAAGUACCAAUCAAGCCCCUCAAAAUCCUCAACAUCUGGACCUCAAGCCCAUGGAAAGCUAUAUGCAUCCACCCCUAAAACUACUCCUGUCCUAGUCCUAGGACCAUACUUAUCUUAGUCUUUCGAAGUCAACACCCUGACUCCUCUUGUGGCCUCUCAAGAUUUGAAAGCACCACACCAACUCCUACACUUCUCGAACUAGCCAUUGACGGAUGCGAGAAGUGAAUGAAAAUAUUAAGAAAAUGGAAUACAAAAAGGGAAGGAGAACAAUCAGCCCGAAAAAUCAAAGAAAAUAAGGAAAAGGAGAAGGAAACCAACCUAUGACUGCACAGAAGGUGGAGACAAUGGGUCAAAAAGAAGCUGCCGGCAAUCCGAAAGGACUCUCAAAGCAGCAAGAUGACCGAAAGGGCUCUUGAAGCACGGAGGCUAAUCAGAGAAGAAAGGAAGAGGAAUGUUAUGA
rnacentral:lncRNA from 1 species